rnacentral:rRNA from 1 species
CUACGGGGGGCAGCAGUGAGGAAUAUUGCACAAUGGGGGGAACCCUGAUGCAGCAACGCCGCGUGGAGGAUGACGCAUUUCGGUGUGUAAACUCCUUUUAUAUGUCAAGAAAAUGACGGUAGCAUAUGAAUAAGCACCGGCUAACUCCGUGCCAGCAGCCGCGGUAAUACGGAGGGUGCAAGCGUUACUCGGAAUCACUGGGCGUAAAGGACGCGUAGGCGGGUUGGAAAGUCAGGUGUGAAAUCCUACAGCUUAACUGUAGAACUGCACUUGAAACUUCUAAUCUAGAGUAUGGGAGGGGGAGAUGGAAUUAGUGGUGUAGGGGUAAAAUCCGUAGAUAUCACUAGGAGUACCUAAAGCGAAGGCGAUCUCCUGGAACAUUACUGACACUAAGGCGUGAAAGCGUGGGGAGCAAACAGGAUUAGAUACCCUUGUAGUC